rnacentral:pre_miRNA from 1 species
CCAAAACAAAUCAAUUUUCCUUCGUACUCCCUCUGUCUUAUUUAAAAAAUAUACGAUUAAUAUUUUUGUUUUUAUUAGAUGAUAAAACAUGAAUAAUACUUUGUGUGACUAAUUUUUUUUAAAUUUCUUGAAAAUUUUUCAAAUAAGACAGAUAGUCAACUUGACACGAAAACCGAAAGGUUGCCUUUUUC